GUGUUCACUUCAGCAGCACCUAUACUAAAACUUGGUAUGAUACAGAGAAGAUUAGCAUGGCCCCUGUGCAAGGAUAACACACAAAUUCAUGAAGCAUUCCAUAUUUUA
ensembl:snRNA U6 U6 spliceosomal RNA